rnacentral:lncRNA from 1 species
AUGGCGAUCAACUUUCAGACUUUUCAUCAAGGUUAGAUUUUGUUUAUUUUUCUUUCAUAUAUAAUCAACUUUUUCUCCUUCUUUCAUUUAGUGUAGCUUCCAAACAACAAUCUUUUUCAUUCGAUUAUGGAUUCGUUAAUCUUGAACAAAGUUAUAUAACCCUACUGUUCCAAAUACAUUGACGCUCCCACCGUUGGUUCUCUAAGGUUUCCAUUCAAGCAAUUCAUUCGUCUGUACCUCAAAGAUUAAAAAAGGAAUGAAAUCAAGGGAGAUGAAGACGUGUGUUAGAGUUUUCAUCCUUCAAUCCGGCGAUUAGGGUUUUCAUCCUUCUUUUACAAUCAAACAAUCCAAGAAUAAUCUGGAAGAUGUUGGAAUUUGGGAUGAUAGCGUUCAGAUCUAACGUAAUAUUAUUCGUAUUUGAAGACUUUAGCGAUUAACAUGUCAAAGAUGGCAUAUACCUUGCUUUCAUCGAUCCUAAUUAGAUUCCGCGAUUUUAUUGGAUUGCAUAUGCUCUGCAGUGUUCACCAUCGCUAGAACUAUCUACAAUUUGCUUUUAAUCUUUACAAGUGAGUGUUAAUUUCGAAAUUGUCUUAUGUGCUUUAAUGGUUUAUGGCACCGAUAGUACAUUCCAGGCUGGGAUUUCUUGCUAUUUAUGUUCCCUUUCUUCACCUUCAUUGCUUUGCCUCUCGGAGAAUGUUCUCUGAUGCUGAAGGCGUCUUUAUCUGUACUUUUAUCGUACUAUCAGCCUUAUCAGGUGUUUGAUAAAUAACAUUGCCUCUCUCGCCAUGGUUCUAGACAAGUAAUUCCCCCUCCCUCCCAUUCUUACACACGUAGGCGUUUACUUUGUUUGCCGGUAACCGGAGGUCUGGUAUCUUUUACAUCGUUACUUGGUUGGCAUUUAUAUUAAGUAAAUAUACAUCAGAUUACUUUUCAGUUUUCCAAAAUUGGUAGCCCAAUUGUCACAAAAUCAUUAGCGUUGUAGACCGUCAUGCUGCCAUGAGAAAUUGGUAUCGUCAAAGUUUAAGGUUUCAAUGGCUAUUGCUUUGAUUUCAAAGUGAGCAACAAUUGCUUCGUUUGAGGAUCAGAAAAGGCACAUCCUUGAGUUCAUGGGAUGCAAGUGAUAAAUCAUUGCUCAUGUCUGCCAUGAGUUGCAUUGCUGCAAUAACACUACUUUAUUAUUGACAUAGUGUUUAGUAGAUUAAUUUAUUGACAUAGUGUUCAGUAGAUUAAUUUAUAAGUGUAUUUUGUUACAUUUAGCUUUAACUUCAUUGUAGUCACAACUCUACCAUGGCAUUGCAUCCAAUUUUUAAGUUGAAUAUUUAAUGUAAUGGACACAUGGAGUUGCAUGAGAUUGAAUGUUUAAGAUUUAAUGG